rfam:Anopheles gambiae str. PEST chromosome 2L, whole genome shotgun sequence.
AGCAAUAGUUCGCUGAUACGGGAGUGGAUCCGAAGCCUCUAGAAGGUUAACAUAGGCUCUCCACCCCCUACCCCUACGCAAUACGUCCUCGUUGUACAUAACGGUAGCAUGUCUCUCAAUUAUUCAAGCUUGGGUAUAUCGAGAAACCCAACUCCUUGGGAUGGGUUACAUAGCUAAAUUAAGAGGG